UGGGGAAUUUUGGACAAUGGGGGCAACCCUGAUCCAGCAAUGCCGCGUGAGUGAAGAAGGCCUUCGGGUUGUAAAGCUCUUUUGUCAGGGAAGAAACGGUGCGGGCUAAUAUCCUGCACUAAUGACGGUACCUGAAGAAUAAGCACCGGCUAACUACGUGCCAGCAGCCGCGGUAAUACGUAGGGUGCAAGCGUUAAUCGGAAUUACUGGGCGUAAAGCGUGCGCAGGCGGUUUUGUAAGUCUGUCGUGAAAUCCCCGGGCUCAACCUGGGAAUUGCGAUGGAGACUGCAAGGCUAGAAUCUGGCAGAGGGGGGUAGAAUUCCACGUGUAGCAGUGAAAUGCGUAGAGAUGUGGAGGAACACCGAUGGCGAAGGCAGCCCCCUGGGUCAAGAUUGACGCUCAUGCACGAAAGCGUGGGGAGCAAACAGGAUUAGAUACCCCCGUAGUCCCUGAGCGGGCUGGCAAGGCGCAU
rnacentral:rRNA from 1 species